CUCGCUGGAAGUUUACCGGGCUCUUAUUAUGUAUUCAUACCAGGUCCAUCUGCUAUUUUGGUUUGGCUCAUUUGCAAACACAAAACGCUUAGGUCAAGCGGAGUGACUCUUCCGAUCUUAAGCACGCCGACCACCGCUGCUACAUCUUCCGUUGUCGGCUUACAUCUCCUUAAAUCCUAUGUUCUACCCACUACACCUCCCACUCUCUCGCAUCUGAACGGCCUCAUCAUCAUCCGUCUAUAAAUGUUCCUUGCUUGCGAUGAAUACCCUGUUACGAAAUCUCAAAGAUCAAAUUCCAUCUAUAGAUUUCCCUCUCUCUCUCUCUCUCUCUCACGCUCAACACCAUCGCAGGUUAGUGUUUUCAAUGGGCAAAGUGUGAUUUUUAGGAAUUUUUUAUGGCGAUGAUGAAUACUUAUAUAUCUUGGCUGUGUGUUUUAGAAGUGAUCUGAUAACUACUUGACGUUUUGGAUUCUUGGGGUUUCACUAACGAGAUUGCAGUGAGUUGUGAAGGCGAAAGAACAAGUUGUAGAAGGGAAGAUGCGUCAUCUAAUCCUAGAGAUAUUGAGUCCGUGAAGAAGAAGCUAUACGUAGCAAAAGUAUGGGUGCGGAAUUUCAAAAAGUUCAAGAGUUCAAUCCUGCCGCCAACUGAGUUUGAUAGUUCUCUGUACCAGCAAGUGGAUCAGGAUUCAAACUGAUAACGGAUGGUGUUAUAUUUCAUGGUAAAAAUUCUCCAAGAAGCUAUAACAAGGGGUAUCUUCCUUCUCAUGCAUCGCAUGUGACGAUUCCAACGCUGUCGGCGUCGUCAGGUUUCUGCUGAUCAAAGAGAGAGAUUAGCAAUGUUCAUGGAGCGGCUUGAUCAGACUAGAGAUUUAAUCAGAGAGAGUAGAAAAACCAUGAUGGAGACGGAAGAUCUUGGUGUCUCAGCUCUUCAAGAUCUUAGCCGGCACCGACAAACUCUCCUUCACUCGCAUAGCAAGGUUUGCUUGAUGGGGUGGAUGAGGACGAGCUUUCAAGGCUAUCUCUUUCCUCCUUUGUUGUUCUUGUCAAAAACAGUUUUGGAGAGAAAGCAUCAGCAAUAGCAGAUGCAGACACAAUAGUGAAUGGCUCCACAGCAUCAGAAGCAUAAGCAGCAUUAGUGGUUGCUAAAAGAGCUGAGUCUGGUGGUCAACAAGGCUCUGUUAUAUAUCUUCUCGCCAACCAUAUUCUUGUCAAGUUUGAUCCUGCACAGAAGAUUUACCAUUACAACGUUGAGAUCUCUCCACAAGCCCUUCAAAGGAAAUCGCUGGGAUGAUCAAACAAAAACUCGUGGAGACUGAGCAUAGUAGUUUAUCUGGUGCUGUCCCUGCUUUUGAUGGUAGGAAAAACAUUUACAGCCCUGUGGAGUUUCAAGAAGAUAGGCUUGAGUUUUUGGCUAACCUCCCUAUCUCAUCCUGCAAUACUUAGAUCAAGUUUGGUGACCUGCGUUAGAAGCUACCUCGGAAGAAGAUUGAUAAACUGUUUAGGGAUAACAUGAGGCUUGUGUCCAAGUUUGAUUGGAAGGAGCAGAGAGAGGAAGUCGAUGGGAAGGAGCAGAGAAAAGAAGUCGAAAUCUGGGCUCCACUUCCUCGAGAAUACAUUCAUGCUCUUGAGGGAGAAUCCAAUAGAGAAGUGUACAUCGCUUGGAACAUCUUCAUUAUUAAGUACUGUAUAAAUUGGACUCCUCAUUAUCUUUUUUUAAGAAAAUUAUAAAUCA